GACGAACGCUGGCGGCGUGCUUAAUACAUGCAAGUCGAGCGAGAACCUGUUGAGGGGUAACCCUCGGCAGGGGAAAGCGGCGAACGGGUGAGUAACACGUGGGUAACGUGCCCCAGACACUGGGAUAACAGCGGGAAACCGCUGCUAAUACCGGAUAACCCUCUUAGAGCGCAUGCUCGGAGAGGCAAAGCUCCGGCGGUCUGGGAUCGGCCCGCGACAUAUCAGCUUGUUGGGGGGUAAUGGCCUACCAAGGCAGUGACGCGUAGCUGGCGUGAGAGCGUGGCCAGCCACACUGGGACUGAGACACGGCCCAGACUCCUACGGGAGGCAGCAGUAGGGAAUCUUGCACAAUGGGCGCAAGCCUGAUGCAGCGACGCCGCGUGAGGGAUGAAGGCUUUCAGGUUGUAAACCUCUUUCAGCAGGGACGAAGCCCGUUUGGGUGACGGUACCUGCAGAAGAACGCCCGGCCAACUACGUGCCAGCCGCCGCCGUAAU
rnacentral:rRNA from 1 species